rnacentral:rRNA from 1 species
CGGAGGGUGCAAGCGUUAUCCGGAUUUACUGGGUUUAAAGGGCGUGUAGGCGGGUCUUUAAGUCAGUGGUGAAAUCUCCGGGCUCAACCUGGAAACUGCCAUUGAUACUAUUGAUCUUGAAUUCUGUUGAGGUGGGCGGAAUAUGUCAUGUAGCGGUGAAAUGCAUAGAUAUGACAUAGAACACCAAUUGCGAAGGCAGCUCACUAAGCAGACAUUGACGCUGAGGCACGAAAGCGUGGGGAUCAAACAGGAUUAGAUACCCUGGUAGUCCACGCCCUAAACGAUGAUUACUCGACAUACGCGAUACACUGUGUGUGUCUGAGCGAAAGCAUUAAGUAAUCCACCUGGGAAGUACGACCGCAAGGUUG